rnacentral:rRNA from 1 species
UACGAGGGAUCCUAGCGUUGUUCGGAAUCAUUGGGCGUAAAGGGUGUGUAGGCGGCCAAGUAAGUCAGUUGUGAAAGCCCCGGGCUCAACCGGGAAGUGCUUCUGAUACUGCUUGGCUUGAGUAUUGGAGAGGUGAGUGGAAUUCCAGGUGUAGUGGUGAAAUACGUAGAUAUCUGGAGGAACACCGGCGGCGAAGCGGCUCACUGGCCCAUAUACUGACGCUGAAACACGAAAAGCGUGGGUAGCAAACAGG